GACGUAGGGCGCGAGCGUUGUCCGGAUUUAUUGGGCGUAAAGAGCGUGUAGGCGGCUAUACAGGUCCGCUGUGAAAACUCGAGGCUCAACCUCGAGACGUCGGUGGAAACCGUAUGGCUAGAGUCCGGAAGAGGAGAGUGGAAUUCCUGGUGUAGCGGUGAAAUGCGCAGAUAUCAGGAAGAACACCCGUGGCGAAGGCGGCUCUCUGGAACGCAACUGACGCUGAGACGCGAAAGCGUGGGAGCAAACAGG
rnacentral:rRNA from 1 species